ensembl:snoRNA
UCUCUCUACUAAGGUUGACUUGGUGCUUUAAGAGGUUCACACAGAAGGAAGAGUAAAGUCCCCACACAACCAAGAAAGAGCAUUGUAAAUCCUCUCACUAGGGUUCUUUCAGGAGUCAUGGCC